UCCCCGUUAACCGGGGCAGUCCCCCUAGAGUUCCCGGCCUGACCCGUUGGCAGCUAGGGGCGAGGGUUGCGCUCGUUGCGGGACUUAACCCAACAUCUCACGACACGAGCUGACGACAGCCAUGCAGCACCUGUCUCCGCCUCCCCGAAGGGAAGGAUACCGUCUCCGGUAACCCGAUACGGGAUGUCAAGAGCUGGUAAGGUUCUUCGCGUUGCGUCGAAUUGAACCACAUGCUCCACCGCUUGUGCGGGCCCCCGUCAAUUCCUUUGAGUUUCAGCCUUGCGGCCGUACUCCCCAGGCGGGGCACUUCAUGCGUUAGCGCCGGCACUCAAGGGGUCGCUCCCCCAAGCACCUAGUGCCCAUCGUUUACGGCGUGGACUAC
rnacentral:misc_RNA from 1 species